AAAACAUUGGCUUAAUUGACUCAAUUUCACACAGGCAUUUCCUGGGAAAGGAGCACUGUAACCUUUAAGGAAGAAUAUUUAUAUAGCCAAGAUAUUUUGUAGCCUACUAUUCUCAGUAUCCGUUAAAAAUGGUUAGCAGAUUCUUCUGUCAAGGACAUGCUAUGCUGCCAGGCUGCAACAAGAAUGCAGCAGAGACAAAGACAAGGAGAUUAAAGAGGUCAGGGGUAUUAGUCAUACAGCCCACUCUUUUUUUUAAGAGUGUAUUCUGUGGGACUAGUAGUCAAAUGAAUCAGCAGUAAGAUGAUGACAUGCAUGAUGACUGGAAACAUGCAUAAGAUAGUUUCACUGACAGAGGCAAAGAUGCUUGAUUUGGGAAGGACUGCCAUAAAUAGUGUAUUAGGCAUAGAAACCCUCUCCAAGUUUUUACAAGCCAGUGGAGGUGCUGGGACUAGGAGACCAAACCUUCUUCACAGUGGAUCCAUAACAUCUGAGAAUAAUCUGGUGAGUGGUGUGCUUAUCCCUUGGGAAGUGAGCUGCUUUACUCAUAUUGCUACCCAGAACAGCAGCUGAGAACAGUGGGAAAUCAAGUGCUGGCAUUUUUGUUGGCUUCACAUUAAGCAACAGGAGAAUAGGUUAUUUGCAAUGGAAUUCACACUAGGUAGUCAAGAUACAAAGAUCAGCAUCACUCAGCAACGGACUACAGGAGCAGAACUGAAAGAACAAGCAAGCAUUAAAUAAGAGAGUAUGUAUGCAGUUGUGCACACUGAGUGAGCAUCAUCGCGGAGCCACAGCAGCAUGCAGCCUGUGUGCUCUAUGCAUUACUGCUUCUUAUAACCUGCACACUUUGUACAGAUGGACUCAGGGGAGUGAAGGCUAUCCUUGAAAAUGUGAAAUUCUUUUGCGUGAUUUUUACAAGGCCCUUUGGAAUAACUGAAGUUCCCUCCUACUUGUCUGCGAACACAACUUGAGAUGACUUCCUUCUUUCUCGUUUGCCUUCCUUUCACAUAAUUCAUGUACUGCUUUAAAGCAUCUUGGAACAUAGAGAAAAUUUCUUUCUGCCCUGUGUUUCUGAGAUUUGAGUGGGAUAUAGAAGAGUUAAUUUGGAAAGGACCUAUGAAAAUCGAGUGGCCAUCUUGGACUAAAUUUCAUAAUGUAUAACAGAUAUUACUGUCUAUAAGACCAUAGAAUACUUCUCUGUAAAAUUUGUUUCCACAGUUGACUUGAUAAUGUCUAAGAAAAGGUCAUUUUAUUUUGUGUCAUGCAAGUAAGAAAUGAUUUUAUAAGGUCUUCUGCUUGCUUUCUUUAACUUAAUAAUAUUCCAUCCUUUACAUAAAUGAGUAGAACCAAAGGUAGGAUGCUUCUCUUCUCUUGUCUUUGGAAGGAUGAGGUACAAUGUUUACAGAUACCUGUUGGCGCAUUACAUCCAGUUGUAUAUGUUUCCUGCUAUUUAACAGCUAAUACGGAGUGUGAAGGACUGCUAUAGAUUAAAGUUGAAGUGAGAUGUUUCAUGAUUAAACUGAAAAUAACAUGCGCCUUCAUUCCUAAAGUAGUUGAUGUAGGACGAAGUACAUUCACUGAAGCCUGAAUGGCUGUCUGGGGACGCUUAGAAUGAAUCAGCUGUAAGUUUUCUGAAAGUCAUACAACACCCUCUAAUAUUGUUUUAUGCACACUGAGUCAAAUAGCCCAAUUCAUGUAGGAUUUCGGUCAAUACCUUUUGAAAAUGAAGCUCAAAUGAUCACUUAGGAAAGAAUAGUCCAUGAAGAACUUAUUUUUCCCGUGAGAAUGAGAAUAUGACUGCAGACGGUUACUUCUCCAUGAGCUGUAACAUACUAUGUUCCACCACAGAUAGCAGAUUGUUUGAAAUACAGUUUCAUGAAAUCAGGUGAUGAGAGCACUAUUUUUGAAUAAGUGUACUACUACAAAAUUAUGCUACUGUUGCCCUGCUAAGGAGUUCUUGAAAUCCAAACGGACUAUAAUUGCAGAAAUAAGAUACUAGUGCAUGGCACAGAAUGACAGAUAUCUGGUGAAAGACAGUAGGGCACCAAAUUUGAUGGAGAAUGGGAAGUGAAACCCUCUGCUCUCCACUUUUAUAUUGAAGGUGACUGAAUCUCAGUAUUUUCUCUUGCGUUUGAAAGGGUUGCCUGGAUGCUUGUGUACAAGUGUUUGUUUCUUUGUAGUGAUUAUGGCUUAAUAUGUGUAUUUCUAUUAAUAAAGUACACGCAAAAAGCA
ensembl:lncRNA